AGUCGAGCGAGCGGAACUAAAGAUUUACUUCGGUAAUGACGUUAGGAAAGCGAGCGGCGGAUGGGUGAGUAACACGUGGGGAACCUGCCCCAUAGUCCGGGAUACCACUUGGAAACAGGUGCUAAUACCGGAUAAGAAAGCAGAUCGCAUGAUCAGCUUUUAAAAGGCGGCGUAAGCUGUCGCUAUGGGAUGGCCCCGCGGUGCAUUAGCUAGUUGGUAAGGUAAAGGCUUACCAAGGCGAUGAUGCAUAGCCGAGUUGAGAGACUGAUCGGCCACAUUGGGACUGAGACACGGCCCAAACUCCUACGGAAGGCAGCAGUAGGGAAUCUUCCACAAUGGACGCAAGUCUGAUGGAGCAACGCCGCGUGAGUGAAGAAGGUUUUCGGAUCGUAACGCUCUGUUGUUGGUGAAGAAGGAUAGAGGUAGUAACUGGCCUUUAUUUGACGGUAAUCAACCAGAAAGUCACGGCUAACUACGUGCCAGCAGCCGCGGUAAUACGUAGGUGGCAAGCGUUGUCCGGAUUUAUUGGGCGUAAAGCGAGCGCAGGCGGAAGAAUAAGUCUGAUGUGAAAGCCCUCGGCUUAACCGAGGAACUGCAUCGGAAACUGUUUUUCUUGAGUGCAGAAGAGGAGAGUGGAACUCCAUGUGUAGCGGUGGAAUGCGUAGAUAUAUGGAAGAACACCAGUGGCGAAGGCGGCUCUCUGGUCUGCAACUGACGCUGAGGCUCGAAAGCAUGGGUAGCGAACAGGAUUAGAUACCCUGGUAGUCCAUGCCGUANACGAUGAGUGCUAAGUGUUGGGAGGUUUCCGCCUCUCAGUGCUGCAGCUAACGCAUUAAGCACUCCGCCUGG
rnacentral:rRNA from 1 species